UAGGUGGUUCUCAUCCUCUAUCCAAUAAAAUGGAAAUGGGUUUCCAAGUUUUUUUUUGUAUAUCAUCUACCAUAAUGGUAGUUGUCUUCUUUUUCCUGUAGUCAUGCUUUAUUUGGAGGUCAAAAGUUUUUCAUGCCCGGACUGAAGGUCUUCCAUCUUUGAUAGAGAAAUGUUGUCAUACAUAUAUUUGACAAUGUAGCGUUAUUCAUCUAGCUUCAGAUACUUUCCUCCAAUGCAAAGUAAGUUUGUCAGCCCACCAGCAUCAGUCCAACAUCCUCAUUGGAUCGAUUGUAAUGAUGUUGCAACAUCGUUGAUAGGUGGCGUCAUCACUUAUGUCAAGUUGCGGCCUCUUUGUGCAGAACAAUUUCUCCAUCCACAUAAUGAGACAUCAGUAUGGAUGAAUUCUAUGCCAGGCAAUCCUCAUCUUCUUUCUGGUUCUUAAACCCUGGAAAGAACGAAUUAUUUCCUUGUUCAUUUGAUUCUCCUGCACUCGCCUUUGAAUUCCAUUGUGUUCUUAAUACCCUGUAAUACACUAUUGUACGAAUGGAAAGCGAUCUGAAAGAUCAGUAUUCUCCAGUGCCAAUUUCCCGAAUUUACAUUUCAAAUUGACUUGCUUCGGCUCAGUUUUAAGGCAAUAGCUGACUAGAGCGAUGUCUUUUCCACAGUCGUAAUUGGAUGUCUAAAUUGUUGAACACCUCCCUCUUUUAGUUCUUUGAAUUCAACAGUUUAAACUUAAGACAGAAAACAAAGCUUGGGGAUCAGAACACCCUAGUUUGAGGGAAGUUCACUUUCUCUGAAGGAGCCACAAACCCCUACAGUGCACACAUUUGCAAGCCAAGCAAUUCAUUCCCUCAACCUAUUCUGCCAUUGUUUUGAAAAACAGGCAAGGGGUCAUAUAUCACCAUCAAACUGUAGGCUACAUGAUUUUUAUUUUUAUUUUAAUUUUCUAAUAGCAGCUUAUCUUGGUGUUUUUUAGUUUAUCUGUACAAUGGUUUAAAAGCUGGGGCUGUGAGGCCACCAAAAAAAAAAGUGGAAGUAUAGUUUUGUUCCGGGUUAGAUCAGCAUGGGGUCGAGCUGAGGCACUACUCAUUGCUGCUUACGGCAAAGGCAUGAAGAUCAGCACCAAUUCAUCAUCCAUCUCAGAAGAAUUGAUGUCUUAAAACAGGCAAAUUGGCCACAACCCACUCCUUUCUUUUGUCACAUCCUUCAGUUGUUGCUUCUUUUCUUCUCUGCAAAUGCUACAAAAUGAAGAGCAACAUGAAUAGCGACAAAAAGUAGUUGAUGGUUUGGUAUUGUAUAAUUCUCACAUUAGACUAACUGCGUUAGAUAUUUCACUAGUUUUAGUUUUUAGCUUUUUAUCUUUUUUGCCAUUGUCAUUUUUUUUCUUCUUUUUGGGAUUGCUUCAUGGAGAUUAGCUGACUGAUAGUAUUAUUGAUACUUCUUGUGGGAUUUAAACUUCCCAAUUGUGAUCCUUCUUUGUAACCUAGUAUGUGUAAUUGUUAGAUGAAUAUCUAAAUUCUGAUGGAAAUUUGAGGUUCUCUUGGAAACAUAUGGUUGUUACUGUAAUUUAUUUAUUCAAGUCAUGGAGUGAUAUAACAUAAUAUUUAUUGCAGUUCA